UCCCAGAUAGCAAAAAAUAUCUGCAAGGCUUCUUUUUGCCGCCGGCCCUUAGCUGUCGGCUAUAGGUGCGUCCUGCUGGCGGGGAUGAAACGUUUGCCGCCGAAUACGUCACUCCCAUUUCUUGCGAGAUUUUUUGACUGCUUCAUUUUCUCUGGCGGUUGCCUGGGUCUAAAGGACCGCGGUCCUUCGGCGGCAAGACGCUUUUAAAUAGGCUACACUCAAAAUCGACCGGCCAUGUUGGUUUGGACAUAUUCGCAUCAGUUCGUCGCUCAAUCGCGAGUUACAGUCUGCUAGCUAGCGAAGUCAUCGACUACCAUCGUUUAAAUACCUUGGCCAGAGCAUAACCGAUUAUCUUCACCCAAGAGACCUACUGUUGGUCAAUCGUUUUGGUUUUAAAGAAGUUGCAUUGAUUCCAGAAAACCAGGAAAAUGUUGAGCCAUCUGUAGACUUCAGAGUUGAAACAGGUUUCUCCCCAGUAAUCCAGACUCCACUUCAGAGCCAAGAGUUUGAGUACAAGGCACUUGACUUUCUGGAUAAAAGGUGUGGAGUUCAUCAAGUACUAAACUUUACACCCCCAGCAGAAAAUGUACCCUGGCAGCAAAUGGGUGAAAAGGCUGGAGGAGAAAGUCAUCGCUCCGUUAUUGGCACUUGGACUCCCCUGGCAUCGCAUGUACAGCAUGAAGUUUUCAGCAAUGAAGGUAUAUUCUAGGCCUAUGUCCUAAUGUCCAGUUUUUUUAACAGUUUUGAAAAUAGUGCCUUUAGUUUUCCAGAACGAGAACCAAGCCCUGAGGGAGGAGAACCAAGCCCUGAGGGAGGAGAACCAAGCCCUGAGGGAGGAGAACCAAGCCCUGAGGGAGGAGAACCAAGCCCUGAGGGAGGAGAACCAAGCCCUGAGGGAGGAGAACCAAGCCCUGAGGGAGGAGAACCAAGCCCUGAGGGAGGGGAGCCAUGCCCUGAGGGAGGGGAGCCAUGCACGAGCAGCUUCGGGUGACAGCGGCUCGCUUCAAGAGCAGGUGAAGCUAUUUGGGACAAUGCUGAAGACGUUUGCUCGCACUGGGCAAUCAGGUACAACUUGCAAACAACACCUGUGGUUGUUGGUUUAAUUCCCACUGGGUCCACAUGUGCAGAUCAGACCCUAGUGCUGCGACGUCUUGGAGAGUUUGGCGAUGUUGUGCGUAGCAUGGAAAACAAAAUGGACACUAUGCUGCAACAUUUCAGUGCCAAUGUGUCUGUUGGAGAGCUAUCCCUGCCAGGGGAUGUUACUCCCCCUAGACACCCAGGAAGAUUUGGUGUUUCUUGACAGCAUUUUGAGGGAGGAUAAAGAGCUCCAGGAACGAUUUGGACAAAUGUACUUCUAUAUGUGUUUAAACAACAACACCAUCAGCGAAAUAACUUCGACACCUGGAAAUAUGAUUCCUAACCUGCUACCUUCUAACCUGGUGACGGGCUCAGUCAGUGGUCAGACCAUCCAGUGCAUCUUCUCUGCUACAGUCCCCAAUGCUACUUCCACCAAGAGCAGCAGUACCUCCUUUUUCAUUUCCAUCUACGCUGGGACCCUGACUAAUGGUGAAGCACUUGUCUUAACACAAUCCAAAGAACAGAUCUAAGAGCAGCUUCCCCUCGUCCAAUCCUAACCAUAUUCAUAAGUUAUGGAAAUGCUACAUUUUCCCCAGAUCAGAACCUAGGAGCUGCUUCAUGCCUUCAAACCCUCUGUGGAUGAUGCAUCCCUUCUGUGUGGUCUUUCUUGAACCCACUAUUUUUCUCCUCCUUCAGGAGUCCCAGGUAUUCCUGAGCCUGUCUUUAUAAGACACUUUAUGUUGUGUUGAGAAGUAAAUAUGAGGUAUACACCCAAGGCAUCCACCACAAGUUAUUUAUUUGAGCACAGUCACCUUUUACUUCAUCUUAGCUGUUGUCAAGUUAUGAAGACAAUUUUGUUCGAGUGUGAGUGUAAAUAUUUGCUACAUAUUUGCAUCUAAUUAAGCCACAAGUAAGCAGAAGCUGAUACUUGUGUGUUUGUGUGUCUGAUAAAAUAUGACAAAUUGUUCUUCAUGAUUUCCCUUCAUUAUUGAAGUUUGGAAUGUUUUUAACAU
ensembl:lncRNA